rnacentral:precursor_RNA from 7 species
GAAGCCACCCAUUUCUGGUAUGGUUGCUGCAGCUGGUGUUGUGAAUCAGGCCGACGAGCAGCGCAUCCUCUUACCCGGCUAUUUCACGACACCAGGGUUGCACCCUACCCAUCCUCUCCAGGCAAGCGC